rnacentral:piRNA from 1 species
UGGGAUGAAGAAGAGGAUGGG